rnacentral:ncRNA from 2 species
GGUCACGAGUUCCAGCGCACAGCCCCGGCUUGCUGGACGGCAACCCUCCCACUCGCGGCGGGGUGCUCCGGGUGAGGACCUGGCGACAGUCGCACGGCUGUCGCAAGCGCGCGGC